CAAUAGCGUAUAUUAAAGUUGUUGCAGUUAAAAAGCUCGUAGUUGGAUUUCUGAUUGAGACAUCAGGUCGGGUCCGAGAGGAUCAUGUACUUUGAUUUGUUUUGAUCAUCCUUGGGGAGAGCAGUUCUGGCAUUAAGUUGUCGGGGUUGGGAUCCUCAUCGUUUACUGUGAAAAAAUUAGAGUGUUCAAAGCAGGCCUACGCUCUGAAUACAUUAGCAUGGAAUAACACGAUAGGACUCUGGCCUAUCUUGUUGGUCUGUAGGACCGGAGUAAUGAUUAAGAGGGACAGUCGGGGGCAUUCGUAUUUCAUUGUCAGAGGUGAAAUUCUUGGAUUUAUGAAAGACGAACUACUGCGAAAGCAUUUGCCAAGGAUGUUUUCAUUAA
rnacentral:rRNA from 1 species